rnacentral:lncRNA from 10 species
CAUGGCAGUGAGUGAGUUCCUAUGAGAUCUGAUGGUUUUAUAAGUGUCUGGCAUUUCCCCUGCUUGCACUUCUCUUUCCUGCCACCAUGUGCAGAAGGUCUUUGCUUCCCCUUCUCCUUCCGCCAUGAUUGUAAGUUUCCUGAGGCCUCCCCAGCCAUGCAGAACUGUGCGUCAAUUAAAUAUCCUUCCUUUAUAAAUUACCCAUUCACGGCUGUGUCUUUACAGCAGUGUGAGAAUGGACUAAUACAGGAAGGAGUGGGGGAAGGUCAGGGCAGGUGAUGACGCUGCAGAGUUUGGCCAAGGCCAGACUUGAAAUGGCAAGCUGAGUUUGAAAUCUAUUCCAGAGGCUAAUCAUUUUCACCUAGGUUCUUCCUCUGUGGUGGCUCAAAAGUUGAGUUGCCAGAUUAAGCAAAUAAAAAUAUAAGAUGGAUAGAUUCUCAGUUAUACUUGACUUUCAGCUAAACAAUGAAUAUUUGUUUAGUGUAAGUAUGCCCCAUACAAUAUUUGGGACAUACUUAUACUAAAAAAUUAUUGUUUAUCUAGAACUCAAACAUAACCAGGUGUCCUAUAUUUUAUCCAGUACCUCUACUUGGGGACCAGAGCAGGCUAAGAGGAGGCCAGGAAUGGGCAGGCUCAGCCCCCUCUCCACUGCAAUCUGAAAAGUUUUGCUGCUCUAAUUUUAGAUUUUGGGGAAUCUAUGUCAGAUCCAUUUGAAAAUAAGUUUCUGACUUCAAUAAUAACACUAAAAUGUACAUAAAACCAUUGUGUAAAUUAUGUGUAAGAUCCCUUCAGGGACCUAGACAAGGGGUUAGCAAAUGUUUUCCAUAAAGGGCCAGAUUUAAAUAUUUAAUUGUAAUUAAUUAUAAAUAUUUAAUUUUAUUAUACAGUUGUAAAUAUUUGAUUAUAAUUAAUAUUUAAUUGAAAUAUUUAAUUAUAAAAUGUAAAUAUUUUAGGCUUUGUGUAUUAUACCAUCUCUGUUGAAACAACUCAACUUUGCAG